rnacentral:lncRNA from 1 species
CUCCUCUUCUCUCUUCCUUCCAUCCGACAGUUUCUAUAUCCUUUCUUUUUUUUCUUUUUUUUUCAUCAAUCCCAGCCAUCCAACUCUUUCCUUUAUCCAUCACAGCCCUCCACGUGGCGCUUUCAGAUUAUGGUUAAAUGACCAUUCGUUAUAGCUCCAAAUUACGUUCUGCUUAUGCCCAUGCUUUCGUAGCGACAAAUACUACGAGUAUACGCCAAGAAAACGGAUCUUAUGUGACAUGACAAGGUGGUAAACAAAAAAAAAUACCUUUGCCUGUCACAACCUGUCCUGAAAUAAAUUUUUCGAUGGUGUGAUUUGUCUAAAAUACCCUUGGACGUUGAGAUGUGUUUGUGUGAUAUGUUUUUGGUUGUGGUCCAAUUCCUAGUUUUCCUAGACUUUUGGAAAUAUUUAGGAUUUAGGUUUUAUUUUCUUUUGUUUUUGGUUGGUUGCAAACUAGACCACACAUACUCACACACUUAUACCCAUCCUGUUGAUUCUCUCUCUCUCCUUCUCUCAGCUUCCAUCCAUUGUUCGUACAAGUUGUACGGUCACCCUUUGAACUUAGCUCUCAAACCACGGGUCGAUGUCAAGGAGGUUGCUUUUGUGUUCCUUGUGAGCUCAGGAACACAUCCAUACCUUUAGUUCGACGUGAGAACUCGUAAAACCCAAGAACCCAGAAUCACAGAUUUUGAGUACUGUUCAUGCACUCAUAAUCGUGAAGUUUUCAAGGAGUUUUAAGGUUAUAGGGAGCCUUAAAACAUCUUCACAAAGCUCGAGGAGUAAUUUUGAAGUGAAUUGGAUGUCGGGAAGCCCAGGUUUAGCGAGUUGCAGGUUUGGCCGGAAUAUCGAAGGUUUUUCAGGUGACUUUUUGUUGGUUUUAGGUUCCCAAAGUGGUAUGAAUAUGUUCUUCUCAUCUUAAGCUUCAUUUUGGUACAAAAUUCAUGAAUUUUGGUUGAGAAUCGAAGAAGAUAUGAAGGUUUGAUUUUUUUUCCAGUUUCGGCGAUCGUAACGGUGACCAGCACCGGACUUUGACGAACCAAGGAAGAAGGAGGAUAAUAUACCGUCAAAGUUGACAGAAUAUUCUGACUCCGUCAGGUAA